AGGUAAGCUACUAAGAGCGAAUGGUGGAUGCCUUGACUGGUAAAGGCGAUGAAGGACGUACUAGACUGCGAUAAGCUACGGGGAGCUGUCAAGAAGCUUUGAUCCGUAGAUUUCCGAAUGGGGCAACCCAGUAUAUAGAGAUAUAUACUACCAUAAUGGAGCGAACGUAGGGAAUUGAAACAUCUUAGUACCUACAGGAAGAGAAAUCAAUAGAGAUUGCGUCAGUAGCGGCGAGCGAAAGCGUAAGAGGGCAAACCCAGUGCUUGCACUGGGGGUUGUAGGACUGCAAUGUGCAAUAAGUAAGGUUAGUAGAACACUCUGGAAAGUGUAGCCAUAGAGGGUGAUAGUCCCGUAUACGAAAACCAAACUUUAGCUAGCAGUAUCCUGAGUAGGGCGAAACACGUGGAAUUUUGUCUGAAGCUGGGUCGACCACGAUCCAACCCUAAAUACUAAUACCAGAUCGAUAGUGCACAAGUACCGUGAGGGAAAGGUGAAAAGAACUGAGGUGAUCAGAGUGAAAUAGAACCUGAAACCAUUUGCUUACAAUCAUUCAGAGCCCUAUGUAGCAAUACAGGGUGAUGGACUGCCUUUUGCAUAAUGAGCCUGCGAGUUGUGGUGUCUGGCAAGGUUAAGCACACGCGAAGCCGUAGCGAAAGCGAGUCUGAAUAGGGCGCUUAAGUCAGAUGCUGCAGACCCGAAACGAAGUGAUCUAUCCAUGAGCAAGUUGAAGCUAGUGUAAGAACUAGUGGAGGACUGAACCCGCUAGCGUUGAAAAGCUAUGGGAUGACUUGUGGAUAGGGGUGAAAGGCCAAUCAAACUUCGUGAUAGCUGGUUCUCUCCGAAAUAUAUUUAGGUAUAGCGUUGUGUCGUAAUAUAAGGGGGUAGAGCACUGAAUGGGCUAGGGCAUACACCAAUGUACCAAACCCUAUCAAACUCCGAAUACCUUAUAUGUAAUCACAGCAGUCAGGCGGCGAGUGAUAAAAUCCGUCGUCAAGAGGGAAACAACCCAGACUAUCAGCUAAGGUCCCCAAGUCUUACUUAAGUGGAAAACGAUGUGAAGUUACUUAAACAACCAGGAGGUUGGCUUAGAAGCAGCCAUCCUUUAAAGAAAGCGUAAUAGCUCACUGGUCUAGUGAUUUUGCGCGGAAAAUAUAACGGGGCUAAAGUAAGCACCGAAGCUAUAGACUUAGUUUUACUAAGUGGUAGGAGAGCGUUCUAUUUGCGUCGAAGGUAUACCGGUAAGGAGUGCUGGAGCGAAUAGAAGUGAGCAUGCAGGCAUGAGUAGCGAUAAUUAAUGUGAGAAUCAUUAACGCCGUAAACCCAAGGUUUCCUACGCGAUGCUCGUCAUCGUAGGGUUAGUCGGGUCCUAAGCCGAGUCCGAAAGGGGUAGGUGAUGGCAAAUUGGUUAAUAUUCCAAUACCAACAUUAGUGUGCGAUGGAAGGACGCUUAGGGCUAAGCAAGCUAGCGGAUGGAAGUGCUAGUCUAAGGAUGUAGGAGCUUAUACAGGCAAAUCCGUAUAAGAAUACUCCGAGAUCUUAAAGGCUCUUUGAAGUCUUCGGAUGGAUAGGAGAAUUGCUGAUGCCGUCGAGCCAAGAAAAGUUUCUAAGUUUAGCUAAUGUUGCCCGUACCGUAAACCGACACAGGUGGGUGGGAUGAGUAUUCUAAGGCGCGUGGAAGAACUCUCUUUAAGGAACUCUGCAAAAUAGCACCGUAUCUUCGGUAUAAGGUGUGGUUCGCUUUGUAUUAGAAUUUACUUCGAAAGCAAAGAAACUUACAACAAAGAGUCCCUCCCGACUGUUUACCAAAAACACAGCACUCUGCUAACUCGUAAGAGGAUGUAUAGGGUGUGACGCCUGCCCGGUGCUCGAAGGUUAAUUGAUGGGGUUAGCAUUAGCGAAGCUCUUGAUCGAAGCCCGAGUAAACGGCGGCCGUAACUAUAACGGUCCUAAGGUAGCGAAAUUCCUUGUCGGUUAAAUACCGACCUGCAUGAAUGGCGUAACGAGAUGGGAGCUGUCUCAAAGAGGGAUCCAGUGAAAUUGUAGUGGAGGUGAAAAUUCCUCCUACCCGCGGCAAGACGGAAAGACCCCGUGGACCUUUACUACAGCUUGACACUGCUAUUUGGAUAAGAAUGUGCAGGAUAGGUGG
rnacentral:rRNA from 1 species